UACGUAGGGUGCGAGCGUUGUCCGGAAUUAUUGGGCGUAAAGGGCUCGUAGGCGGUCUGUUGCGUCAGGAGUGAAAACUCGGGGCUUAACCCCGAGCCUGCUUCUGAUACGGGCAGACUAGAGGUAUGCAGGGGGAGAACGGAAUUCCUGGUGUAGCGGUGAAAAUGCGCAGAUAUCAGGAGGAACACCGGUGGCGAAGGCGGUUCUCUGGGCAUUACCUGACGCUGAGGAGCGAAAAGUGUGGGGGAGCGAACAGG
rnacentral:rRNA from 1 species